rnacentral:misc_RNA from 1 species
GGAAGGAUCAUUAACGUGCCUUUAAAAACCUUUAUCGUCGACCGUGGACUUUUUUUUUUGUGCAAACAAAAAAAAAACAAUUUCACAACAACAAAAACCAAUUUUAUUCUGAUUAAACUUUCAAAAGUUGACAUUUAAAAAUGACGACUUUCAACGGUGGAUCUCUAGGCUCGUGUAUCGAUGAAGAGCGCUGCGAACUGCGAUACGUAAUGCGAAUUGCACAACUCAGUGAAUCAUUGAAAUCUUGAACGCAUAUUGCGCUGCGACAGUAAUGUCGUAGCAUGCCUGGUCGAGCAUCUGUUCCAAACCUCAAAAAACAUUUUUUUUUCUAAACAAAAAAAGAAUGUGGCUUGUGGUCUCUCUCAGAACACUUAAAACAUGUUUUGAGGUAAUUGAUGAGAGUCAACGUACAAAACACAUUUAUGUGUUUGUAUGCCGUCUCUUUAAAUUCAUGGAAUAGAACUCGUUUAAUCUAAAAGAUUUCUUAAUCAACACGUAUUAUUUUUGUUCUGGGGUUAAAAGCCUUGACAAGAUGUACAACCCAUGUGGUAAACACCUCAUGGUCUUUGUAUUUAUUUUGACUUGACUUCCUGGGCUAAAGCAAUUAUAGUACAUUUCUGAUUAAGAGUCCCUGGAUUAGAUCUCGGCUCAGGCAAGGCUACCCGCUGAAUUUAAGCAUAUAAUUAAGCGGAGGAAAAGAAACUAACAAGGAUUCCCUUAGUAACGGCGAGUGAAGUGGGAAAAGCUCAAGCUUAAAACCUGUGCCCUUCGGGUACCGGAUUGUAGCCUAUAGAGGGAGCGUCCGGGCGAACGAUGACCUAAAUGCUUAGGAAUAAGCUGCCAAAGAGGGUGAGAGCCCCGUUCAUGGUUGUCGAUCUCGUCUAUUGUGAUGCCCUUUCAUCGAGUCGGUCUGCUUGAGAGUGCAGACCUAAGUGGGUGGUAUACUUCAUCUAAAGCUAAAUAUUGACACGAGACCGAUAGCGAACAAGUACCGUGAGGGAAAGAUGAAAAGAACUUUGAAAAGAGAGUUAAACAGUGCGUGAAACCGUUGAAAGGGAAGGUGAUUAGCGCAGUGUCUCGUACGGCGAGCAUUUUAGCUCAAAUCUGCUGAAGGCUCUUUUAAGUCAGUGUUAAAGCGGCUUGAGGGAGUUUAGAGGUAGGGAUGGGUGCACUAUGCUUGUCGGGGCCUCUGGAUGCGUUAGGUGAGCAGGAAAAAACCGCGUUUGGGUAAGUUCUCUCCGGGUUCUGACAUUUCGCGGCGAAACUGUUUGCUUGACGGAGGAAUAAGGACUCGGCUCAGCCAGGCAGUCAAUUCAUUAUUCUCUGUAUUGAUGGUAACACUUCUAAGAAGUUUUGUUGUCAUGCGGGGUUGGUGGGUGAAACUGUCUUGAGUUCUCUUGAUCCAGAGUAAAUGUUCUAAUCACACCCGUCUUGAAACACGGACCAAGGAGUCUAACAUGUAUGCGAGUCGUAGGGUGGAAAACCUGAAGGCGUAAUGAAAGUAAAGGCAGACUCGGUCUGCUGAGGUGGGAUCCCGACCCGAAAGGGGGGGGAAGGUGCACCAUCAACCGAUCAUGAUCCUCGGUGAAUGAUUUGAGUGAUAGCAUAUCUGUUGGUACCCGAAAGAUGGUGAACUAUGCCUGUAUAGGGCGAAGCCAGUGGAAACUCUGGUGGAGGCUCGUAGCGAUUCUGACGUGCAAAUCGAUCGUCAAAUAUGGGUAUAGGGGCGAAAGACUAAUCGAACCAUCUAGUAGCUGGUUCCCUC